UCAGACGGCCGGGCGGUCGCGGGCGCAAGCUCGAGGAAAGUCCGGGCUCCACGACGACAUGGCGGUGGGUAACGCCCACCGGGGGUGACCCCAGGGAUAGCGCCACAGAGAGCAGACCGCCUUCUCCUUGGAGAAGGUAAGGGUGAAAGGGUGCGGUAAGAGCGCACCGGGUCCCUGGUGACAGGGAUCGCAUGGCAAGCCCCGCCAGGAGCAAGACCGAAUAGGGAUCCCGCGCCAGCUUGCUGGUAGGGCCGUCGCCGGCCUGAGGGCUCCGGGUAGGUCGCGAGAACCGGUCGGCAACGAUCGGUCCAGAGGAAUGGCCGCCGCGUCCUGCGCGAGCAGGGCGGCACAGAACCCGGCUUACAGGCCGUCUGAUCUU
rnacentral:RNase_P_RNA from 1 species